UAACCACAUUAAUAAGAGUUUAGAAUUUUAAAUAUUUGAAACUGUGCCAAAAAACAUUACAAAUCUAAAACAUUUGAUAAUUAUUUCUGUUCAUUUUGUAGUUCUACACAAACUUGUAUUUGCUACUAAGAAUUCUUUAUAAAAUUAUCAUGUACUAUAUAAAUUUGGAAGUACUAUUCAUUUUUAAUAUACGUAAACAAAUAAAAAUACAUAUUUUUUAAACAAAUAAAUUUAUAAUACCAAAAAUUAAAAAUACUGUUUUGUCUCAUGUUAUGCGAGGGGGUGAAGUUUGCUGUGGAGAGGCAUGCCAGGCACACAUAAUGGAACAACACGAAGAAAUUGAUGAAUAUCAUAAAAUAGUUAAUAAUUUAUAAAAACAUACCCUGUCCAAGGCCAAGUCCACCAUACACUCCAAGAUACAUAUCUUGUUUUGCUCUAUCGAAUGUAUUAUUAUUACUAUAAUCUGUUAAGUUAUCAUCUGACCACAGACCGAGCCAAGCAUUUGAACCAAUGCUAAAUCCUUGGUAAACAGCAUUCAUUAUGAUAGUUGUUAUCGAUAAAAACCAUCCAAUGGACUUGAAGUAAUUUUGAUCACCUGCAGGCAAUAUUUUUAAAUCUGGACCCAACGCACAUGCGUCGACUACACGAUUAUACAAGCUUUUAUGAAGCGGUUUCCCAAACAAAACAUUAUCUUGCAACGACGCAUUUUGUAUCCAUGCCUGUUGAGAUACAUAUGCAAUGGAACCCUAUUACACAUAAAAAGAGGCUUCUAUAUAAAUAUGUUCUUAUAUAUCGUACGGAUUAUAUUAAAGGUAUUUACUUUUGUA